GAUGAAGAACGUAGCGAAAAGCGAUAAGUAAUGUGAAUUGCAGAAUUCAGUGAAUCAUCGAAUCUUUGAACGCACAUUGCGCCCCCUGGUAUUCCGGGGGGCAUGCCUGUCCGAGCGUCAUUACAACCCUCAAGCUCAGCUUGGUGUUGGGCCCCGCCGCCCCGGCGGGCCCUAAAGUCAGUGGCGGUGCCGUCCGGCUCCGAGCGUAGUAAUUCUUCUCGCUCUGGAGGUCCGGUCGUGUGCUCGCCAGCAACCCCCAAUUUUUUUCAGGUUGACCUCGGAUCAGGUAGGGAUACCCGCUGAACUUAAGCAUAUCAAUAAGCGGAGGA
rnacentral:misc_RNA from 1 species